rnacentral:rRNA from 1 species
UACGUAGGGGGCGAGCGUUAUCCGGAUUCAUUGGGCGUAAAGCGCGCGUAGGCGGCCGCCUAAGCGGAACCUCUAACCCCGGGGCUCAACCUCGGGCCGGGUUCCGGACUGGGCGGCUCGAGUGCGGUAGAGGAGAGCGGAAUUCCCGGUGUAGCGGUGGAAUGCGCAGACAUCGGGAAGAACACCGAUGGCGAAGGCAGCUCUCUGGGCCGUCACUGACGCUGAGGCGCGAAAGCUGGGGGAGCGAACAGG